rnacentral:rRNA from 1 species
UUAACGGAGAGUUUGAUCCUGGCUCAGGACGAACGCUGGCGGCGUGCCUAACACAUGCAAGUCGAGCGGUGAACCACCCUUCGGGGUGGGGAUCAGCGGCGAACGGGUGAGUAACACGUGAGCAACCUACCCCUGGCACUGGGAUAAGCCCGAGAAAUUGGGUCUAAUAGCGGAUACGACCACGGAGGGCAUCCUCUCGUGGUGGAAAGGUUUUCCGGCUGGGGAUGGGCUCGCGGCCUAUCAGUUAGUUGGUGGGGUAAUGGCCUACCAAGACGACGACGGGUAGCCGGCCUGAGAGGGCGACCGGCCACACUGGGACUGAGACACGGCCCAGACUCCUACGGGAGGCAGCAGUGGGGAAUAUUGCGCAAUGGGCGAAAGCCUGACGCAGCGACGCCGCGUGGGGGAUGAAGGCCUUCGGGUUGUAAACCCCUUUCAGCAGGGACGAAGCGAAAGUGACGGUACCUGCAGAAGAAGCGCCGGCUAACUACGUGCCAGCAGCCGCGGUAAUACGUAGGGCGCAAGCGUUGUCCGGAAUUAUUGGGCGUAAAGAGCUCGUAGGCGGUCUGUCGCGUCCGCUGUGAAAACCCGGG